rnacentral:rRNA from 1 species
UGAAAAAGGUUAGGAUGAGGUGUGGAUAGGGGUGAAAUUCCAAUCGAACUCGGAUAUAGCUGGUUCUCCUCGAAAUAGCUUUAGGGCUAGCCUCGUAGUAAGAUACCUGGGGGUAGAGCACUGAAUGUUCUAGGGGCCUUCACCGGUUACCGAAAACUAUCAAACUCCGAAUACCAGAGUAUCAUCUACGGGAGUCAGACUAUGUGAGAUAAGUUUCAUAGUCGAAAGGGAAACAGCCCAGACCGUCAGCUAAGGUCCCAAAAUAUAGGUUAAGUGGAAAAGGAUGUGGGGUUGCACAGACAGCUAGGAUGUUGGCUUAGAAGCAGCCAUUCAUUCAAAGAGUGCGUAAUAGCUCACUAGUCGAGUGACCCUGCGCCGAAGAUAAACGGGGCUAAAACCUAUUACCGAAGCUACGGAUACUUAAUGUAUGGUAGAGGAGCGUCGUAUACGGGUUGAAGCAGUACUGUAAGGUAUUGUGGACUUUAUACGAGAGAGAAUGUUGGCAUGAGUAGCGCGAGGCAGGUGAGAAUCCUGCCCACCGAAAAUCUAAGGUUUCCUGAGGAAGGUUCGUCCACUCAGGGUUAGUCGGGGCCUAAGCCGAGGGCGAAAGCCAUAGGCGAUGGAUAACAGGUAGAAAUUCCUGUACCACCGAAGGUUGUUUGAAUGAUGUGGGGACACAGGAGGAUAAGCUGAGCACGCCGUUGGUAGAGCGUGUCCAAGCGUCAAGGGAGUAUGAAUAGGCAAAUCCGUUCAUAUAUAUUCUGAGGCGUGAUGGGGUGGUCAAUAGACCGGAAGCAGCUGAUUUCACACUGUCAAGAAAAGCCGCUAAUUAGACCUAAGGUGCCCGUACCGCAAACCGACACAGGUAGAUGAGGAGAGAAUCCUAAGGUGAGCGAGCGAACUAUUGUUAAGGAACUCGGCAAAAUAACCCCGUAACUUCGGGAGAAGGGGUGCCUGCUUCGGCAGGCCGCAGUGAAAAGGCCCAGGCAACUGUUUACCAAAAACACAGGUCUCUGCAAAAGCGAAAGCUGAAGUAUAGGGGCUGACGCCUGCCCGGUGCUGGAAGGUUAAGGGGACGUGUCAUCGCAAGAGAAGCACUGAACUUAAGCCCCAGUAAACGGCGGCCGUAACUAUAACGGUCCUAAGGUAGCGAAAUUCCUUGUCGGGUAAGUUCCGACCCGCACGAAAGGCGUAAUGAUCUGGGCACUGUCUCAACAAUAGACUCGGUGAAAUUGUAGUACCGGUAAAGAUGCCGGUUACCCGCAGCAGGACGGAAAGACCCCGUGGAGCUUUACUGUAGCUUGAUAUUGAGUUUCGGCGUUGCAUGUACAGGAUAGGUGGGAGACAAUGAAGCAAGUACGCCAGUAUUUGCGGAGUCAUCGUUGGGAUACCACCCUUGUAACGCUGGAAUUCUAACCAUGUACCGUGAACCGGUGCUGAGACAGUGUCAGGUGGGCAGUUUGACUGGGGCGGUCGCCUCCUAAAGAGUAACGGAGGCGCCCAAAGGUUCCCUCAGCGCGGACGGAAAUCGCGCGAAGAGUGCAAAGGCAAAAGGGAGCUUGACUGCGAGACAUACAGGUCGAGCAGGGACGAAAGUCGGGCUUAGUGAUCCGGUGGUUCCGAGUGGAAGGGCCAUCGCUCAACGGAUAAAAGCUACCCCGGGGAUAACAGGCUGAUACCCCCCAAGAGUUCACAUCGACGGGGGUGUUUGGCACCUCGAUGUCGGCUCG